GAUGAACGCUGGCGGCGUGCCUAAUACAUGCAAGUCGAGCGAACAGACGAGGAGCUUGCUCCUCUGACGUUAGCGGCGGACGGGUGAGUAACACGUGGAUAACCUACCUAUAAGACUGGGAUAACUUCGGGAAACCGGAGCUAAUACCGGAUAAUAUAUUGAACCGCAUGGUUCAAUAGUGAAAGACGGUUUUGCUGUCACUUAUAGAUGGAUCCGCGCCGCAUUAGCUAGUUGGUAAGGUAACGGCUUACCAAGGCAACGAUGCGUAGCCGACCUGAGAGGGUGAUCGUCCACACUGGAACUGAGACACGGUCCAGACUCCUACGGGAGGCAGCAGUAGGGAAUCCUCCGCAAAGGGCGAAAGCCUGACGGAGCAACGCCGCGUGAGUGAUGAAGGUCUUCGGAUCGUAAAACUCUGUUAUUAGGGAAGAACAAAUGUGUAAGUAACUAUGCACGUCUUGACGGUACAUAAUCAGAAAGCCACGGCUAGCUACGUG
rnacentral:rRNA from 1 species